rnacentral:rRNA from 1 species
GGAAUAUUGGACAAUGGGCGAAAGCCUGAUCCAGCCAUGCCGCGUGAGUGAUGAAGGCCCUAGGGUUGUAAAGCUCUUUCAACGGUGAAGAUAAUGACGGUAGCCGUAGAAGAAGCCCCGGCUAACUUCGUGCCAGCAGCCGCGGUAAUACGAAGGGGGCUAGCGUUGUUCGGAAUUACUGGGCGUAAAGCGCACGUAGGCGGAUUGAUCAGUUGGGGGUGAAAUCCCAGGGCUCAACCCUGGAACUGCCUUCAAUACUGUCUGUCUAGAGGUCGAGAGAGGUGAGUGGAAUUCCGAGUGUAGAGGUGAAAUUCGUAGAUAUUCGGAGGAACACCAGUGGCGAAGGCGGCUCACUGGCUCGAUACUGACGCUGAGGUGCGAAAGCGUGGGGAGCAAACAGGAUUAGAAACCCGAGUAGUCC